GGCCCGCGGCGGAAAGAGCGCUCCGCCUGGAGACUGAGGGCGUGGGUCAGUGGGGACUCGAGGCGGGCCUGGCGGCGCUCUAUCCCUCCCACUGCGGCUGCGGCUCGCUUCUUUAACUCGCGAGCUUCUGGCGCGCUGUUCUGGGUUUCCACGUGGGCCCGCCCACCGCCAUCUUGAAGCUGUGCCAAGGUACAAACAACAGUGAUUAUCAUACAGCUGGAAAGAAAGGCAAAGCAAAUGCUUUUUAUUUUAGAUUGGGCAAUUAAGCAGAAACUGCAGUUUUAGUAUGAAGAACGGAGGUGGAAGAACAAGCCGAAUCAGAAGACGAAAACUCUUCACAAGUUCUGAAUCAAGAGGAGUGAAUGAGAGCUACAAGCCUGAAUUUAUAGAGCUUAAGAAGUGGCUGAAAGAUAGGAAGUUUGAAGAUACAAACUUAAUACCUGCUCGUUUUCCAGGUACAGGAAGAGGGCUGAUGAGCAAAACAUCCCUGCGGGAGGGACAGAUGAUUAUCUCAUUGCCUGAGAGUUGCCUGCUCACCACGGACACAGUGCUUAGAAGCUACUUAGGGGCGUAUAUUGCCAAGUGGCAGCCUCCUCCAUCUCCUGUGCUGGCUCUUUGCGCCUUUUUAGUUUCAGAAAGGCAUGCUGGGGACCGGUCUCCCUGGAAACCUUACCUGGAGGUUUUGCCCAAGGCCUACACCUGCCCUGUUUGUUUGGAGCCAGAAGUGGUGAAUCUUCUUCCCAAACCUUUGAAAGCAAAGGCCAGAGAGCAGAGAACCCACGUGCAGGAGUUCGUUUCUUCCUCCAGAGACUUUUUCUCUUCCUUGCAGCCUCUGUUUUCGGAGGCCGUCGAGAGCAUCUUUAGCUACAGCGCGCUCCUGUGGGCUUGGUGCACCGUGAACACCAGGGCUGUGUACAGGAAGCGCGCGCCGAGGCAGUGCUUUUCCGCAGAGCCGGACACCUGCGCGCUCGCCCCGUUCCUCGAUCUGCUGAACCACAGCCCCGACGCCCAGGUAAAAGCAGCGUUUAAUGAGGAAACUCGCUGUUAUGAAAUUAGAACAGCUGUGAGCUGUGGAAAACACAAAGAGGUGCUCAUCUGCUAUGGCCCUCACGAUAACCACCGCCUGCUCCUCGAGUAUGGAUUUGUUUCCAUCCGCAAUCCUCAUGCUUGUGUUUAUGUCUCAAAAGAUGUACUUGUUAAAUAUCUUCCAUCAACAGAUAAACGGAUGAACCAAAAGAUUUCCAUUUUAGAGGAUCACGACUUUAUAGAAAACUUGACGUUUGGAUGGGAUGGACCGUCUUGGCGGUUACUCACAGCUCUUAAGUUGUUAUGUCUGGAAGCUGAAGAAUUGACAUGCUGGAAAAAAGUACUUAUUGGGGAAAUAAUUUCAGAUACAAAUGAGAAGACAAGUUUGGACAUAGCCCAGAAAAUAUGCCAUUAUUUCAUCAAGGAGAGUAAGGCUGUGCUUCAAAAGAUUUCUCAUAUGAAAGAUGAAGAAGUGGCUUUGAUAAACCAACUAACUUUGGUAGAAACACUGUGGACAGAAGAGCUGAAGAUUCUCCAGGCCUCUGCCGAGACCCUAACCAGUUUGCAGACAGCUUUUACGUAACUUCACUGAAGUGCAGGUGAUCACCUCCAAUGGAUGUUUAUUCUUCUGGAUAAAAAUACGACUAAGGAUGGUGGCAGCCAUCCUUGGGAUGCUGGGACGCCCUCUCACGCGGGCUGCAUUGGAGGCUACGUGCUUCUCUGGUGCAGGACAUCAUGUAACCAGCAAGUGAGAAUCGUCUGACCAAACUGAGUCCCAGAGAGCAGAAACGAUGCACCUGAGGGCCAGGAAGUGCAUGGUGAUAGGUCUCCCAACCCCUGGGAGCCUGUACUGGCCCACAGGAACCAGACUUCUUUAUCACCAGUAGACCCUCCUUCGGUACAUGAGAGCAUGUUUGGCCAAGGUUGACGGACUGGAAAGCAGGAUCCAGUGGCUCACCUACAGAAGGAGAUGGAGAAGGAGUCCUGCGGUGACAUCAGGAUCUGAACACGGAUGGCUUCGAUGACAUUUGAAGGUCCCUGCCAUUUGUAACCUUCCAUGAUUGUUGGGAAGUCACUGGGGAGAAGAGGAUGUCACAUAAGGUGAUGGAGACCCUGACGGAAGCCCAGAGAAAUUAAGCAACAUACCCUCCUUCUGACAAGCUUUCCAGAACCUCGAAUUCCCAGAACCUCGAAUUCCCAGAGUUAAGUAUGGUGACUCGAAGAAACUUGGAGGUGGGGAAAAUGAGACUCAGAGAAAUUAAGCAGUUUGAUGAACCACACUAGAUUUGGAAACAGCUGCACUCAGAUGAUCAUUCUGUAAAAACAGGUGUUCCAUACCGUAGAUGGAAAGAGCUCUGUGCUUCUAAUCUCCUACCUGCAAUCUGUGUGAGGAAGGUGCUAGAAGUUCUGCAGGAGGCCUGGGGAAAAAGCCAGGGUCCUGUUCACGGUGCACAGGAAGUCUGGUUCCGUUCUGAAGAGUGGGUAGCUGACCUGAGAGCAAGUGGAAACAGAGCAAAACAAACAACAAACCAAACCUAAUCCAAAAAAAAAAAGGCACUUCCUUUCUUCUUGAGAUAGGACACUGUAAUCCUUAUGGUUCUGAAGUCUAGAAAGGAUUGCAGAACUUUUGGCGUUCACAGCUAAGGGCAGAUAAGAAGACUGACUCUCUUCCUAUGAGCAUGAUGCAUGUUUUAAGUCAUUUUCCAUGCCACCUUCUUGUUGUGAUGUGUUGGCGUGUUGGUCAACAAGGAAACAAACUUAGCUGGAGCAGAUCAGGGGCCACCCAUGGGUGACAGAGGUGUCAGCUGAGAGGUGGACACCGCUUGGGUCUGGGAACAAAUAAAAAGCCAGCUGAUGUCCCCUGAUCCUUUACUUAGAUCCUCCCAUUUAUGUUGGAAUCUCCCAUUACUCCAUCAGGACACCAGGAAAUUUGAAGAGAUGAAGUGAGUCUCCUUUUUGGGAUCUUUCUUAUUUUCAUCUCUGUCCCUCCUCAUCUCACUCCGUCCCUUCAUCUCACCUCCCCUACCCCAUUUGUCCAUUUGUUUGUCUUCCUUUGGGUUUUUCUCUGAAAAUCUGCUUUUUAAAUUUAUCUCUUUCUUCCACUGUAGGUGGUGAUUUGCAUUCUGAACCCAUGGUGUGCAGUAAGGCUUCUCCGAAAAAGAGUCCUCAAAAAGCUCAUAGUGUAAAAUGUUUCUAUCAUCUGGGAAAGACAUUUCAGAAUUGUUGAUAAGUUUCAUGUUUAUCAGCAUUUUUUUCAGGCUAGCGGUCCGGAUGGAACUUUUCCAGCCUUUCUUCCAAGUUUCACCUCACUCCAAGUUGCUGCCACUAUAGAUGAGAUAUUUGUAAUUGGAUUCAGGC